AGAGUUUGAUCAUGGCUCAGGAUGAACGCUAGCGGCAGGCCUAAUACAUGCAAGUCGAACGGUAACAUGAGUAGCAAUACUUGAUGACGAGUGGCGCACGGGUGCGUAACGCGUAUGCAAUCUACCUUUAACAGGUGAAUAGCCCGAAGAAAUUCGGAUUAAAACACCAUAGUAUAGUUUUCUGGCAUCAGAAGACUAUUAAAACUCCGGUGGUUAAAGAUGAGCAUGCGUGACAUUAGCUAGUUGGUGAGGUAACGGCUCACCAAGGCAACGAUGUCUAGGGGAUCUGAGAGGAUUAACCCCCACACUGGUACUGAGACACGGACCAGACUCCUACGGGAGGCAGCAGUAAGGAAUAUUGGACAAUGGUGGCAACACUGAUCCAGCCAUGCCGCGUGAAGGAUGAAGGCCCUAUGGGUUGUAAACUUCUUUUGUACGGGAAAAAACCUCUUUACGUGUAAAGAGCUGAUUGUACUGUAAGAAUAAGGAUCGGCUAACUCCGUGCCAGCAGCCGCGGUAAUACGGAGGAUCCAAGCGUUAUCCGGAUUCAUUGGGUUUAAAGGGCGCGUAGGCGGAAUAAUAAGUCAGUGGUGAAAUCCUUCAGCUUAACUGGAGAACUGCCAUUGAUACUGUUAAUCUUGAGUACAUUUGAUGUGGGCGGAAUGUGUCAUGUAGCGGUGAAAUGCUUAGAUAUGACACAGAACACCGAUUGCGAAGGCAGCUCACAAAACUGUAACUGACGCUGAGGCACGAAAGCGUGGGUAUCAAACAGGAUUAGAUACCCUAGUAGUCC
rnacentral:rRNA from 1 species